UGGCGAAGCAAAGAUUAUCCGCACGCCUCUGGCGGCGAAAUUUAGAAACUCUCUAAGAACGACACUUUGUUUGUUUAUUUGUUGAGGUUAUGUUAGAUUAUUCAGAUGGAUCACGAUUAUUUAAAGAAACCUGUUGCUAAUAAAAACAGAAAUACGAAAUAUUGUUGCGUUCCUCAAUGUAGUACUUACGGAGAUACGGGAAUAAGUUUUCAUUUAUUCCCAAAAGACAAAAUAAUGAAGAAAAAAUGGAAGACUGCUUUAAGAAUAGGCAAGCCAAUUUCACCAUCAAUGAGAGUUUGUUCUCAUCAUUUUCAAACUUCAAACUUUUUUCCGGGCAAUUCUAAAAGGCAGAAGUUGUUUCCUUAUGCCGUACCGUCUCAGAAUAUUCCUAAAAUAAGCUCUGAUAAAGAAGUACCAUUAGUGCAAAUAAAAAAAACAAUUGCUCGAGAAAAUAGGGCUGUUAUUAGACACAGGAAAAUAGUGGAAUCAAAUAAAGAGGUUGGACUUGCUAUGGAGAAUGAAAAAACUAAAUUUGAGGAUAAUAAUAUAACUGAUAACAACAGUCAUCAUCAUGUCAAGACUUCAUCGACACAAGUCAAUUUAGUGGAUUACAGAAAUUAUCGUCCCCGAGAAGAUUGGAGUUUAGCUGACAUUCUUUGUGACAAAGAACCUUUGGAAAAGUGCACUCAAAUAAAUUUUCUUCCUAUGUGGGAAGAGGAUAGAUCAGCUUUAAAGCAAUUAACCCUCUCAGAUUUACUUAGUAGUGAUAUGUAUUUAUUUACUUUUACGGGUAUUCAUUCAAUAGAACUUUUAGAAACAUUGGUGACUUGUGUUAGUGAAUUGGCCUUAGAUGCUCCAACAAAUAAGAAAAUGUUAUCUGUAAGAGACAGAGUUAUUUUGACAAUGGUAAAAAUUAAACAAAAUAUGUCAUUUAGAGCCAUUGGUGUUUUGUUUGGUAUAAACAGGCAGACAUGUUCUAAUUAUUUUAAUAAUAUGUGCCCCAUGCUGAGUAGAGUACUCAAAGUUAUUAUUCCUUGGCCUGAUAUCGAAAUGAUCCGUAGCAACCUACCUAAAUCAUUCCAAAAAUAUAAAAAUACAAGAAUAAUAUUCGACUGUGCUGAAACUGUGAUUGAAAAAUGUAAAUGUUUAAAAUGUAGAAUAUUGACAUACUCUCAAUAUAAAAAAAACAAUACAGCCAAGUUUAAUAUUGGAAUAACUCCUUCUGGACUUAUAACUGAAAUAAGUGCAUCUUAUGGUGGUCGAGCAUCAGAUAAACAUAUUGUAAAUAAAUCAGGAAUCUUAAAUAAAUGCGAGUUUAAUGAUGGAGUGAUGGUGGAUAAAGGAUACAGGAUUGAAUCCGAGUGUAAUGAACGUCUGCUUCAGCUUGUCAGGCCUCCUUUCUUGAGUCAGAAAAAGCAGAUGACCAAAGAAGAUGCAAUCCGCACUGCAGAGAUUGCACGGGCAAGAGUGCAUGUUGAGAGAGUGAUACAGAGAUUGCGACAAUAUAAACUUCUAUGUGGACCAUUACCAUGGUCACUGGCGUCUUAUUUUGAUGAUAUAUUAAUUAUUGUUGGUGGUCUUACAAAUUUGGGUCCACCAAUUAUUCACAUUGAUAAAUUUAUGUAGUUAUUAUAUAAUCGGAAGGGAAUUUUGUAAGAGUGGCAAUAAAUUUUUACAGUGAAUAAAUAAUUUAGUACACAGA